GUGGGUGUAGCUCAGUUGGUAGAGCACUGGAUUGUGGCUCCGGUUGUCGCGGGUUCAAGCCCCGUCACUCACCCCA
rnacentral:tRNA from 1 species